UGGGGUGCAGCUUAGUGGUAGAGCAUGUGCUUAGCAUGCUCAAGGUCCUGGGUUCCAUCCCCAGCGCCAAAA
rnacentral:tRNA from 1 species